rnacentral:rRNA from 1 species
CCUACGGGUGGCAGCAGUGAGGAAUAUUGGUCAAUGGACGAGAGUCGGAACCAGCCAAGUAGCGUGAAGGAUGACUGCCCGAUGGGUUGUAAACUUCGUUUAUAAAGGAAUAAAACGAGGCACGUGUGCCUUUUUGCAUGUACUUUAUGAAUAAGGAUCGGCUAACUCCGUGCCAGCAGCCGCGGUAAUACGGAGGAUCCGAGCGUUAUCCGGAUUGAUUGGGUUUAAAGGGAGCGUAGAUGGGUUGUUAAGUCAGUUGUGAAAGUUUGCGGCUCAACCGUAAAAUUGCAAUUGAUACCGGCAGUCUUGAGUACAGUUGAGGUAGGCGGAAUUCGUGGUGUAGCGGUGACAUGCUUAGAUAUCACGAAGAACCCCGAUUGCGAAGGCAGCUUACUAAACUGUGACUGACAUUGAUGCUCGACAGUGUGGGUAUCAAACAGGCUUAGAUACCCUGGUAGUC